rfam:Gossypium raimondii Chr03_contig_1027, whole genome shotgun sequence.
UAUUAAAAAGUUCAUCUAUUUAUACUAUUAAAAAUUGGCGAAAUAACUAGACAAUGACACGUGGUGUGCCAUAUCUAUGUCAUACUAAUUUACAGAGGUCAAUUUUAAAUAGUAGAAGUGGAUAGAAUUUUUAAUA